rnacentral:lncRNA from 1 species
UUUUUUUUUGUUUUUUUGUUUUUUUAAAGAAAGAAAUUAAACAUGCAUGAGACAAAUGCAAUAACACAGAAAAGAACAUAAGAGAACUUCAUCUAGAGUUGGGUGGUGACAUAGUCACCUAUGUUAGAGUAUAUUGACUUAGGAGUCAAGUGAGAACACUUGAUCAUGGGUCAUACUCAUCGUUUAAGCUCAAAAUGGGGUUACCAUUUUUCUUUUAAGCAUCUUGAUGUAUUCACAUCUUGUUGAGUUGCUUUGACUCAUGUCUUGGAGUAAAGCUUCUCUAAGAUGGAAUAACAUACCUUGGGUGGUGGUGUGGUUCUUGCUCAUGUAGUUGAACUUGUGUGGGUGCUCAAGGUUGAUGUAGCUCAUCAAGAGUUGGGAGCACCACUUGGAGUUUGAGUUCAUCUACCUACAUGGGUUAGUUAUUGCAAGGAAGAGCACUUGUGUAUUCAAAAAUGACAAUCAUGAAGCUCAACAUAGAAUUUGUCAAAGGAUAUGUUUGAAUGGUUUUGUGCUUCCUUGUCUUCAACCACCAUUGUGUAGAGUCUUGGUGAUGUAGAGAUUGCUCAAGAUGUGAGUGAGUCGCAAUCUCAUGGAAUUAGAUUCAACCAAGCUCCUACAUGGGUUAGACAACAUGCAAGGUGCAAAUAUAUCCAAGACAUAAGAUAGUUAUCAUAAGAGAUAUAUCAUGGAUUAGUCAUAAGAUCAUGUCUUGCAUGUAUCCAAUGGAGUUUCUACUCCAAGUUCGAAGCAUCAAUGAUGUUCAAUUCUCCUCUCAACCUGCAAAACACUUUCUCAUCAAGUGGUUUAGUAAAUAUAUCCGCUAAUUGCUUAUCGGUGCGAACGUGCUUAUGAUGGCACUUUCAUUGUCACAAAGCAGUGGAACAUGUUUCACAUAAAUCCCAUAAUCUUUAAGAGUUUGGGUCAUCCAAAGUAAUUGAGCACAACAUGAACCAGCAGCAAUGUAUUCCGCUUCGGCGGUUGAUAAGGAUACCGAGUUUUGUUUCUUGUAAGACCAAGACACAAGAGAUCUACCAAGAAAUUGACAAGUACCCGAAGUGGACUUUCUAUCAACCUUGUCUCCGGCAUAAUCCGAGUCGGAAUAGCCAACAAGAUCAAAAGAAGACCUCUUAGGAUACCAAAUGCCAAAAUUUGGUGUAUGGAUUAAAUAUCUCACUAUCCUUUUCACAGCCUUAAGAUGACAUUCUUUAGGAGCAGCUUGAUAUCGUGCACACAUGCACACACUUAGCAUAAUAUCGGGACAUGAAGCACAUAGGUAUAACAAUGAACCAAUCAUAGAGCGAUAAACCUUUUGAUCAACCGGUUCACCAUCUUUGGUCAAAUCAUUAUGUCCACUAGUAGGCAUGGGUGUAGACAUACCUUUGCAUUCUUGCAUAUUGAACUUCUUGAAUAAGUCCUUGGUGUACUUUGUUUGAGAGACAAAUGUACCUUCCUUAGUUUGCUUGAUUUGAAAACCGAGAAAGAAUUUGAGUUCACUCAUCAUAGACAUCUCAAACUUCUCUGACAUUAGAUUUCCAAACUUUUCACUAAAGAGAGGGUUAGUUGAACCAAAUAUGAUAUCAUCAACAUAAAUUUGGCAUACAAAUAGUUCUCCAUUAACCCUUUUAGUAAAAAGAGUAGAAUCAAUUUUACCAAUUUCAAAACCACUUGUAAUAAGGAACUUGGUCAAGCAUUUAUACCAUGCUCUAGGAGCUUGUUUAAGACCAUAAAGAGCUUUGUGAAGUUUGUAAACAUGAUUUGGUUUCUUAGGAUUGAUAAAGCCGGGAGGUUGUUUGACAUAAACUUCCUCCUCUAUUUCACCAUUUAGAAAAGCACUUUUAAUGUCCAUUUGGUACAAGGUGAUAUUAUGGUGAUUAGCAUAGGCAAGUAAGAUGCGAAUGGACACAAGUCUAGCAAUGGGAGCAUAUGUCUCACCAUAGUCCAUACCUUCGACUUGUGUGUACCCUUGGGCGACGAGACGUGCUUUGUUGCGAACCACUUGUCCAUCUUCAUCUUGCUUGUUGCGAAACACCCAUUUGGUACCAAUGAUGUUGUGAUUGUUGUCCGGCUUCUCAACCAAUGUCCAAACUUGGUUUCUCUCAAAAUUGUGUAGCUCUUCAUGCAUAGGGUUUAUCCAAUCCGGAUCUUCCAAUGCUUCUUCAACCUUCAUAGGUUCAAUACUAGAGAUGAAUGAAUAGUUUUCACAAAAGUUAGCUAAACGAGUUUUUGAGCGAGUGAUUCUCCCGAUUUGUAUAUCAUUGAGGAUUUGCUCGACGGGAUGAUCUUUGGCAAUUCUUGCUCGAACUCGUGAGAGCUUUUGCUUGGGUAUUUGUUGAACAUCUUCUUCUUCUUGUUCUUCUUCUUGGCCUUCUUCAUUGUUGACGUCGUCGUUCUCUUGUCGUGGUGGAGAAAGAGGUUGUUGAUGUUCGUCUUGAUGCAUUUCCUUGUCUUCUUCAUCUUGGUGUGUCCCACUUGUGGAUGCUUCCGUGUCGAUUCUUGGUUCACCUUGUCGUGAAGUAGAAGCUUCCACUUGGACGGAUGAAUUACUCUCCUUCACCUCCGUUGGGCGAAUUUUGCCAAUGGACAAGUCUUGGAUUGCUUCUGAAGGGUCUUUAUCUCCUACAUCAAUUGGCAAUUGCUCUACUUGCGAGCCAUUAGAUUCAUCAAACUUCACAUCUACCGUCUCUUCAACCUUCCGGGUGAAAUUGUUGUAGACACGGUAAGUGUGAGAGUUUGAGCCAUAACCAAGUAGAAAACCUUCAUGAGAUUUAGGAGCAAACUUUGAACGACGAUGCUUGUCAAGAAUGUAGCACUUUGAGCCGAAUACUCGAAAGUAUCCAACUUGGGGUUUGUUACCGGUGAGGAGCUCGCAUGCCGUCUUGCCGAGUAGCUUGUGAAGAUACAAGCGAUUUGUUGCGUGACAAGCUGUCUCAACCGCUUCUGCCCAAAAGUGCUUCGGCGUCUUGUAUUCAUCAAGCAUCGUUCUUGCCAUUUCGAUGAGCGUCCGGUUCUUCCUCUCAACAACUCCAUUUUGUUGACGUGUGUACGUAGCCGAGAACUCGUGUGAAAUCCCUUCUUCGUCAAGGAAGGUGUCCACAUUUGUGUUCUUGAACUCCGUUCCGUUGUCACUCCGAACCUUCUUGAUCUUCAUGUCAAACUAAUUUUGGGCCUUCCUAGCGAAGUUUCUGAAGAUCUUCUGGACCUGUGACUUGUCACUAAGAAAGAACACCCACGUAAAUCUUGAAAAAUCAUCAACUAUAACUAGACCAAAAGAAUUUCCACCGAGACUCUUGUAGGCGUUGGGACCAAAAAGAUCCAUAUGAAGUAGCUCGAGUGGCCUUCUUGUGGUCAUGAUGUUCUUCACGGGAUGCCUUCCUCCAACCUAUUUACCUGCUUGACAAGCACUGCAAAGUCUAUCCUUAUCAAAUAUGACAUCGUUAACUCCAAGGAUAUGAUUUCCUUUAAUAAGCUUGUCAAGGUUUCUCAUGCCAACGUGACCUAGUCGUCUAUGCCACAACCAACCUUUUGAGGAUUUAGCAAUAAAGCAAGUUUUAGGUUGAGCCUUUUUAGAGAAAUCGACAAUGUAAAGAUCACCUCUAUGCAUACCGGUAAAGACCAUUUUAUAAUUGUCUCGACGAAAAACUUGGCAAUCUACCUCAGUAAAUAGGACAUUCAAACCGAAAUCAGCAAGUCUAGAUAGUGAAAGUAAGUUGUAGCCGAGUGAUUCAACGAGCAUGACAUUUUGAAUGGAACUAUCAUGUGAGAUGGCCACCUUACCAAGGCCAACCACUUUACCCUUUGAGUUAUCACCAAAGGUGACAUAUUUCCGAGGGCCGUCAUUUUCAGCAAUCUCACGGAACAUCUCUUCAUCUCCAGUCAUAUGAUCAGUACAUCCACUAUCAAGAACCCAUUCCUUUCCUCCUGACGCAUAUCCCUGAAGAUUUGCCAUAAGACCGAAACGUCUCAUUGUAUCGUCAAGAUCAAAGUCACUAUCAUCAUCAUCAUCAUAGUAUCCAUGUUCAUCAUGAUCUUGUGACUCAUCAUUUCCUAGAGAGGGUAAUUCAUUAGAUAAAUGAUCAUCAAAGUGGUCACUUUUAUGAAUUCUUAUAGCUUCGAAUAUAAUAUCACUAAUGAUUCCAACAUCUCCUUUAGCAUGCUUAAGAUUGGUAAGUUCAAAUAGAUAACUACCAAAAGUAGGAUCACUAGAGUUCAUCUUACUCAAGGCAAUAGAUUUAUGGAGAAUUUCAUCCAAAUUUUUCAAGGAAUGAUCGGGAAAUCGUUCCUCAAGAAAUUUCCAUAUAGUAUAGGCGCAAUUAAGAGUAGGCAAACUAGCAAUCAAAUUUUUGGGCAAUCCUCUAAUGAUGAGCUCAAUAGUUCUAAGACUGCGAAUCAUGUCAAUAUCUUCAUCUAGGGUAGGAUGCAAAGGAUCAAUAUGAGGUGCACAAGGACUAGCAAUAUACUUGUUCAAAUGAUAUUGAUUGAAGAUUACAAGCAUCUCAUUUUUCCACUCAUGAAAAUACUCUCCAUCAAGAAUAGGCACUCUAUGUCUAAGACUCCCUAAAGUAGACACAUCCAUCUUCCUCCAAUGGUGAUUAAACCAAGGCAAUGGAAACCUCGCUUUGAUACCACUUGUAGGAUCUAGAAGUAGAUGUGUCUAGAGGGGGUUGAUUAGACACUUAGUGCUAAAGUUGCAAUUUUUAGACCUCUUUGGUUUGAGUGGAGUUUUAGGCACAAUUUCAACAUACACAAUACAUAUCAAGCAAGCAUGCAAAGAGUAUAUGAGCAGCGGAAUGUAAAGCAUGCAACUUGCAAGAAUGUAAGGGGAAGGGUUUGGAGAAUUCAAACGCAAUUGGUGACACGGAUGUUUUUCCUGUGGUUCGGAUAGGUGGUGCUAUCCUACAUCCACGUUGAUGGAGACUUCAACCCACGAAGGGUAACGGUUGCGCAAGUCCACGGAGGGCUCCACCCACGAAUGGUAACGGUUGCGCGAGUCCAUGGAGGACUCCAUCCAUAAAGGGUCCACGAAGAAGCAACCACCCACAAAGGGUCCACGAAGUAGCAACCUUGUCUAUCCCACCAUGGCCAUCGCCCACGAAGGACUUGCCUCACUAGCGGUAGAUCUUCACGAAGUAGGCGAUCUCCUUGCCCUUACAAACUCCUUGGUUCAACUCCACAAUCUUGUCGGAGGCUCCCAAGUGACACCUAGCCAAUCUAGGAGACACCACUCUCCAAGAAGUAACAAAUGGUGUGUAGGUAAUGAACUCCUUGCUCUUGUGCUUCAAAUGAUAGUCUCCCCAACACUCAACUCUCUCUCAUAGGAUUUUGGAUUUGGUGGAAAGUAGAUUUGAGUGGAAAGCAACUUGGGGAAGGCUAGAGAUCAAGAUUCAUAUGGUAGGAAUGGAAUAUCUUGGUCUCAACACAUGAGUAGGUGGUUCUCUCUCAGAACAUAUGAGUUGGAAUUGUGUAUGUGUUCUGAUGUCUCCCUUUACGAAUGAAGAGGAGGUGGACGGGUAUAUAUAGCCUCCACACAAAAUCCAACCGUUACACACAGUUUUCCAAUCUCGGUGGGACCGAAUCAACAAACUCGGUCAGACCGAAAAGAUAAACCUAGUGACCGUUAGAGAUUUUCGGUGGGACUGUCAUGCAACUCGGUAGGACCGAUAUGGUUAGGGUUUGGGCAUAACGUAAUCUCGGUGAGACCGAUUACACAAACUCGGUGAGACCGAUUUUGGUAAUUAGCUAACCAGAGAGUUGGUCAGGCAAACUCGGUGGGACCAAUUUGCUCUUUCGGUGAGACCGAAAAGUUACAAAAAGGAAACACUGAAUUUGCAUUGCAAUCUCGGUGGGACCGAUUCGCUUUUUCGGUGAGACCGAAAAGUUACGAAAGGGAAACAGAGAGUUUGCAAUCCCAUCUCGGUGAGACCGAGAUCCCUAUCGGUAGAACCGAAUUGCUAGGGUUUGGCAGUGGCUUAUGAGAAGUGAAACUCAGUGGCGCCGGAUAGGAAUAAUCGGUAGGUCCGAGUUUGGCUUUGGGUUUAGGUCAUAUGUGGAAGUGGGAAAGUAGUUGAGGGUAUUGGAGCAUAUCACUAAGCACAUGAAGCAAGAGGCUCAUUAAGCAACACCUCAUCCCUCCUUGAUAGUAUUGGCUUUUCCUAUGGACUCAAUGUGAUCUUGGAUCACUAAAAUGUAAAAUGAAGAGUCUUGAGCUUGAGGAUUUAGCCAAUCCUUUGUCCUUAGCAUCUUGAAGGAGUUCCCACAACCUUUAGUCCAUGCCACUCCAUUGUUGAACUUAUCUGAAACAUGCUAGAUAGAAAUGUUAGUCCAACAAGAGAUAUGUUGUCAUCAAUUAUCAAAACCACCUAGGGAGCACUUGUGCUUUCAACCGGCUGCCCUUGGGAGGUUCGGGCCGAUCUCUGCCCCGCUUGGUGUCUGGUUCUGCCGCGAGCACGGAAGCCCCCUUGCGCUUCACUUCCUUGGCCUUCAGCUUCUUCUCUUAUGGGUCUGCGGCAGGCAGCUCAAGGAGGGAGAGACGCCCUUCCUCAGCCCUGGCGCACUUGUUCGCCAAGUUGAACAGCUCCAAAGAAGUGCACAGGUCUUCAUGCAUCGCCAGCUCCUCCUUCAUCUUGACGUAGCGCACGCCGUCGGAGAAGGCUGAGAUGAUGGCCUCUUCAGUCACCUUGGGAAUCUUGAGGCGUGCGUUGUUGAAGCGUUGGAUGUACUUCUGCAGGGUCUCCCCGGGUUGUUGCUUGAUGCGGCGCAUGUCGCUCGCGGCGGGUGGCCGGUCGCGAGUACCUUGGAAGUUGGCGAUGAAGCGGGUGCGCAUCUCUUCCCAGGAGGAGAUUGUGCCUGGUGCCAGGUUCAGAAGCCAGGUGCGGGCCCCGUCCUUGAGCGCCAUGGGAAACCAGUUCGCCGUGACCUUGUCGUCUCCGUUCGCAGCUUCGAUGCCCAGCUCGUAGAGCUAGAGGAACUCCGCAGGGUCGGUCGUGCCGUCGUAGCGAGGAGGCAGGUCCGGCUUGAACUUGCCUGGCCACGCGACGCUGCGCAGCUCGGUGGUGUAGGCGCGGCAGCCUGCUGUGGCCACGGGAGGCCUUGGGUGAUGGAGAGCCUGGUCUUGCAUGUCCCCACGCGCCGGAGUAGGAGGAUGGUCGCGACGUGCUGGAGCAGGGAGCGCCCGGGCAGCUUCUGGCGGGUGAGGGACUUCUUGGCAGCUCUGCUCUUGCCGCGCUGGCACCUGACGGAGCGGGUUCCGCCCAGGGGCCACGCGCCUUGGAGCCAUGGCGUCUUCUUGGGGAGGAGGCGGCCGGGGCGCUGCCAGAGCCUCGUCGCUCGCGCGGGGCGGGUUGCGGUGCAGCGGAACGGGCGGCGCGGAAGAACCCCCUGCAGCGCGGACGAGCUCGGCGACGCGGCCGAGCCAUUCUUCAUAGAUGUCAUCGAUGGGACGGUAGCAUAGGAGCUUGUUCGCCGCGAUGAGUGCAGCCCGAGCCUCCAUGGGCGCGCGGAGCGCACGGGAUGAAGAUCCAGCUGGGGCGAGCGAGGGAGUCGCGGUGCGGCCGUCUUGGCGCACGGAUGCAUGCUGAGACGAUGCUUGCUGCUCGUCCCCCGCCGGGCCGGUCGCGGCGGUGACGGCAGGUGACGGGGAACGGCGAGGACGCCCGCUGACAGGGGCUGUCUAGGCGACGCGGGAAGCGAGGGCGGCCCGGCGCUCCGCGCGGCCCCGACGUGCGUCAGAUAUGAGCGUGAUGGUUGGAGGAGAGCGGGGCGGUGGAAGACGAAUUCCGGCGCACCCCUACCUGGCGCGCCAAAUGUCGGAUUUCGGGUUCCGGAAGACCCUCGAGGUUCGAACACUGGGGUGCGCGCGGAGAUUUCGCCUCCUACCUACCUGCACCCGUCCGCCACGCUAGGAUCAAAGCUAUGAAAAGAACAACACAAGGGACACAGGGUUUAUACUGGUUCGGGCCACCAUUGUGGUGUAAUGCCCUACUCCAGUGUGUGGUGUGUGGAUUGCCUCUUGGGUUGAUGAUGAUGAACAAUACAAGGAAGAACAGCCUCGCGAGGGUCUGUUCUUGGCUGGGGGAUGAACUGAUGGGGGGAGUUCAGCCACCUUUCUCUCUCUCUUUCUCUCUGCUUCUCACCUCUCUAACGAGCCUCCUUAUUCCUACCACCCAACCCCCCUUUUGCUUUGAGGGUGGCUGGUCCUAUUUAUAGAGGCCCUGGUCCUCUUCCCAAAUAUUGAGCGGGAAGGGAGCCAACAAUGGCGGGCUAAUUUGAAAGGGGACAGCAAGUAUCAGCUAUCCUGACAAAAGUAGUCUUCGCCUGCGCAAAGCUCUGGUGAUGGCGCCGUCUUGGGCUCCACGGUGACCUCCAUCUCGUAGUCCUCCUGGUCUUGGUCUCGUUGCACCGAAAUGGCAACCUUUGCCUGGUGCCUCGGUACUCCGCGGAUGCGCUUGCCCGCUUUGCACCAAAGAGGAAAGGAGGACGCUGCGCGGGCUGGCACCCGCCUGGCGCCCUGAGUCGUCAUGGCUUGCGUCACAGGCACCUCAUAAGGUACCCCGCCUUGAUCUCUCCGCCUCCUCGUGAGCCAGCCUGACGAGGCCGUGCCUGAGGAAGCUCCGUGUCGUCCGCCCCGCGAGGCUUGGCCCCUCGCGAGGGUCUUCAGUUUGUGUUGGUGAAGAUGGGCCGUGCUAGGGCCCCCUUUGAGCCACGCCGCAGGCCGCAGGCAGGCAAGUCUGGGGACCCCCAUUCCCAGAACGCCGAUAGGCUCCAACAGACGUGCUAAAAUACAGCGCGCAUCACUCCAGCAGCGCGCGCGACUCGCCAGCGCAUGCCAUAUGUUGCAUUUUGGACACAAAAUGGAUUUCAAACAUUCAAAAUGUAAUGAACAUGGCAUAUAAUUUCACACAAACAAGUUGAUGAAUAAAAGUUCAUGCCCACAAGUUCAUCCAACCAAGUUCAAAAUGCAAACCAAGUUCAUGACACAAAUGAAAGACACAUCAAGCCUCGUCUUCGUCCUCAUCUUCCGAAGACGAUUCUUCCUUCUCCGAAGAUGAUUCUUCCUCAUCCUCAUCAUUGUCGCGCACCACAUCACGUGAAGCUCAGACGGUGUUGGCAAGAUCUUCAACGACAUCUUCAUGGGAAGGUGUGUGAGGCACACCGGAAGACAUUCCGCCCAUGGCGGCCGGAGGUGCACCCAUGCCUCCCAUGAGAGACGCAAAACUCAUUGCUCCCAUGGCGGACAUGGCGCCGGGGGGUCCUCCAAAGCCACCCAUGCCUCCCAUGAUCUCCAUGCAGCUCCAAAGCCACCCAUGGCACCUAAGCCACCCAUGGUAGCUCCAAAGACACCCAUGCCUCCCAUGGCGCCAAGUCCACCGCCACCCAUGGCGCCAAGGCCACCGCCACCCAUUGCACGAAUCAUGGCUCUUUUGUGGAUCAAUACUUCUUCAUGGGCAAGAUUGACAUACUCCUUUUGCGCCUCAUUGAGGAUAGAUGUGUCCAAGAAGAACAAGUGCUUCUCCCAUUCCAACAAUCUAGUUCGCUCCUCAUUGCUCACCUUCCUCUCCUCCAAAGACAUCUUCCUCUCCUCGGCCACCAACCUCCUCUCCCUGUCCACAGCAUCUUGGUUCCUUGCCAUUUUCCUCACCUCGUUGGCUUCUUUUCUUGCGUUCACAAUAGAUUCCACAGCAUUUUUGAGCUCAUCAUCUCCUUUCUUCUUUUUCUUUUUUUUCGCGUAUUUCUUGCACCCAUCCGGUCGUUUUGGCUUCAAGUAUGAAACCGAGUUGGGUGUGGGGCUUCUCUUGUUGUCAUCACUUGAUGCACCCCCCGUCAUCAUCAUCAUCCAACUCAAUUGUUUGCUUGCGUUUGUUGCUCAAAUACAAAUCAUCCAAAUCAUCACGCUUCUUCCAUUUCUCAUCAUCCUUCAACACGUCAUAGCAAUGAGGCAAGGUAAAUGGCCUUUCUUUCUUGAUCUUCCCCUUCUUGGUCCUCUUCUCCUCUCCUUUGAACAAGUUUUGUGCAAUGUUGUACUACAUGAAAACAAAACAAGUUAGCACUUCAAACACCAACAACAAGUAUGAUGAACAUGGAUGAAAUGCCACUUACUCUAUCGUCCUCAUUGGUGCCACUUGCACUACUAGGAAAAGGGCUAUAGAUGGAAAUGACACUAAUGGCGCACCAGACAUGUGGUGCGCCAUUAAUAUAUACUAAUGGCGCACCAUGUGUUGGUGCGCCAUUAGUGUUCAAAUACUAAUGGCGCACCACAUCCACGGUGCGCCAUUAAUAACAAUUUUUUUUUCAUUUUUUUUCAAAACUAGUAAUGGCGCACCGUGGGAGUGGUGCUCCAUUACUAGUUAAACUAGUAAUGGCGCACCACAUCCACGAUGCGCCACUAGUAAAUUAUUUUCAAAAAAAAUUCCAAAAUUUAUUUAUUUAUUUUUUCAAAACUAGUAAUGGCGCACUAGUGGACAGUGCGCCAUUACUAGUUAAAACUAGUAAUGGCGCACUGUCAACUGGUGCGCCAUUACUAAGUUUUUAAAAAAAUUAGAAUUUGUUUUAUUGUUUUUUCAAAACUAGUAAUGGCGCACCACACCCACGGUGCGCCAUUACUAACUUGGCCCAAAACGUACCGAAUGCACCCCCCCCCCCGUGGACCGCCUUUUCAGUUUAAAAAAAAUAAAAGAAAAUGAUGGAAAUGUCAAAAAAUAAAAGAAAAUAAGUUUCCUAUGUGAUAUGUGGUCUAGUUGUUGGGAAAAUUUACAAAUAUGAAUUUCAACUUUAUUUGCAAAAUCUCUCUGAAAUUUGUAAAAUGGGCAUAACUUUUGCAUACGAACUCGGAUUAAAAAGUUUUUUAUAUGAAAAAUCAUCUACUCGAAAAGUUACAUCCAAAAAUCAUCCACCAUCACAAGUGAAUGCAACUAAAAUUGCAAAAAAAACAAAUUUGAUUAUAUUUUCAAAUAACAAAUUUGAUGAUAUUUUAUAAAAAAUUAUUACUUUUUUUAUAAAAAAUAUUACUGUUAUGAUUUAAACAAGUUUGAACAUAUUUAAACACAAAUAAAUAUCAAACAACAUUUUAAAUGCAUAAAAACAAAAACUGGGGAGCCUGGGAAUCUGGGAAUCGAACCCAGGACCUCCUAGUGUGUGUGCUGUGUGCUGACCAGUCGGGCUAGUGGGCGUGUUUUGAUGGAGAUAGGGUUAGGUGGAAUAUAACCUGACCAGUCGGGCUAGUAAUUAAAACAAAAUUCUAAUGGCGCACCAGGGGGAGGUGCGCCAUUAGAAUCCUCGUACUUAUGGCGCACUAGGGGGUGCGCCAUUGCUAACCCUCCCCCACUCCACCUAUUCCCCUCACACUGUGUGGCCUCCCUCCCUCGCGAGAUCCCCCACUCGACCCCAAACGUACGCCGCCGCCCCCUUGCUCCGCCCCUCUAUCCGCCGCGCCUGCAUGCCGUUGGUGCCGCCGCCGCCGCCGUUGUGGUCUUGCGCUGCCCCGACGUCGCCGCCCCGACCCCCGCGGGACUCCACCCCCGCCGCCCCCGCGCCCCCCGAACGGGAUCGGCCGAGCGCGCACCGCCCGCUCCUCUCCUCUCCUCCUCCNNNNNNNNNNNNNNNNNNNNNNNNNNNNNNNNNNNNNNNNNNNNNNNNNNNNNNNNNNNNNNNNNNNNNNNNNNNNNNNNNNNNNNNNNNNNNNNNNNNNNNNNNNNNNNNNNNNNNNNNNNNNNNNNNNNNNNNNNNNNNNNNNNNNNNNNNNNNNNNNNNNNNNNNNNNNNNNNNNNNNNNNNNNNNNNNNNNNNNNNNNNNNNNNNNNNNNNNNNNNNNNNNNNNNNNNNNNNNNNNNNNNNNNNNNNNNNNNNNNNNNNNNNNNNNNNNNNNNNNNNNNNNNNNNNNNNNNNNNNNNNNNNUCCUCCUCCCUUCGACGAGCGAGGGCCUCCUCCGGCCCCUGCAGCAGCCGGCGAGCGCAGCACCGACGCACCCACCCUGCCUACCCUGCCGUCCUCCGCCACCGGCCCCUGCUCUCCUUCGACCGCGGCGAGCGAGGACCCAGACGAGCUCGGACCCCGACCCCGACCCCUCCGGCGACCAGGUACCUCUCCUCCUUUCUUCCUCUCUCCACCAUUCCUCAUUCCACUGCUGCCUCCGGCGGCCGCUCGCUGCCUUGCACACCCGUGCACGCACCUAGCCGUGCCGGCCCUGCUUGCCGUCCCGCGCGCGCCCCUGCGCCUGCCUGAGCUGCUUCUGCUGAAGCUCUUGCCCUGCUGCUACGCUAAUACUGCUGCUGCUUACUGUACUUCUAGCUAGCUUUUCAAUUUUUACAUGGACUAACCUCCUAGACAAACCCUAAUCUGUGGUUAAACAACUGGUAAAAUGACUGAAUAAAAUAUGAGUAGGUAGUAUAUGAUCAAUAGGCAAUACUAGUGGAUAUUAGGCCUUUUUACAGGCAAUAAUAGUGGGUGAUGUACCUGGAUGUCUGUGGGCGAUGCUCAGGUGGUAUGUAUGAUGUCUCCGCUUUUUUGAGAUUGCUGCUGCUAUCUCACCAGAUUAUAUGUAGUGUGUCAUUCUUGCUAUGGUCAUGUAAGAGAAAUGCUUUGCCUUGCUAAUUUUACCAUGAGAUUUGGGGUAAUCAGCUAGUUCUGGUCAAAGCAAGUGGUUUUCCUGAGCUAUGCCUUGCUUAGAAAAUGAUGCAUGAUGGUUUGUUCAGAAGAGGAAUAAUCCCAGGAUAGCACGUAUCAUGGGGUCAAACCUGGGACCCCUAUUGUAAUUUGAUUUUGAUUAUUAAUUUUUCUGUGAGCAGAUGAAUUACAGUGUUUGUGUUGUAAUGAAACUUGAGCUGAAAUAGAACUUGAAAGCCUGUACAGUGAAUAUAUACAGUCAUUGUAAUUUUGGGAGUAAUUUUUGGUGUCAAAUCACUCAAGCGGUAACUGAAUUUUUAAACUGAACUUGACACAAUACUAUUCAGUUAAUUUGCUUGGACAGUAGUAUGUAUGCUCAUCACUUUAUGUAUGGUGUUAUGCCCUGUUAUCUCUGUUCAGUUGACUAAUGAAGCACUAGGCUCAUCCAUGGUACAAGUUCACCUGUGAACACUUGAAAUUAGUCAGGACAUCCCGUACUGAUAGAUGUAAAUUGUGUCCAGUAGGCUUUGAAGCACCGGUUUUUCCUGUUUCUAACUCUGAAUCUGAUAUAAACCAUAUUGUUGCCAUAAGUGGUCUUUUGUAUAUGUGCUUAUGCUUUGUUAAUAUAAAGCUAUAGAUGAUGUUGUACUUAUGAUGAUGCUACUUGUGAUCUUCUGAAAUGACCCAUUGGCGACUUCAUUACGCGGGGAUAAUGAUAUUGCAGGUACCCCGAGAGGCCCUUGAGUUUGCUAGAAUGUUGAUUAACUUCCGUUCCAGCAAAUUCGGGUACUCCAUAUGUCCUAUUUUCAGCAAAGGCCAUGCUGAAAUUUUCCGUGAAUUUUAGCAUGACUUUGCUAAAAAUAGGACAUAUGGGGUACUUGCGACUAAUGUUGAUUAUCUUCUGCUCAAAAUUUAUGCUGCUAUAAUGUUGUAAGGGUACUAAUUGGUCUCUUCUGCUGCUUAUCAGAGAUGGGGGGAAGCAGCCACCGCCGCUCUGCCUCAUCGGAGUACAAGUUGGAUGCUUUCGAGUUCUUCACUAUCAUACUUUCUUCUUCAGUAUUAGCCACGAGGCAGGUAUAUAAAAUGAGAGAUCUCCCCUUCACCCAUCUCAUUAUGAUAACUCUAUUGUUUGCUACAUCACUCCUUGUCCCAAAUUGCAGAGGCUGCCUGACGCUUUUAUGAAGAUGCUGGGUGAAGAUCUGCCAGAUAAUGUGAAGCUCCGACAGGCCGGCAGCGGGGUUCGCAGGCUGUGGGACGUGGAGUUGGUGAUCGAGGAGGGCCACAUGUACCUGUGUCGUGGCUGGGAGAAGUUCUACAGUGCCUACGACCUGCAGACCGGGUACUUUCUUCUCUUGAGGUACGACGAUGACGCCACAAUGCUCAUCGUGAAGGUUUUCAACAAGACUAUGUGUCGCAUGCGCUACGCUGAAGACAAAGAUGCCAGUGUGUUCUGCCUCUUCUUAUUCCUCCAUAUUUGGCUUUGUCUCACAUCGAUUGUUAACGGUCAUUGUUGCAUUUGGACAGGCAAUGGGAGCAGCAGCAGUGACACUGGCUACAGCCAAAGCAGCAGCGAUUAUGGCUGUAGCAAAAGCAACAGUGAUUCUGGCCUUAGCGAAAGCACUAGCGAUUCUGGCAGCAGCGAAGACAACAAGAAGGAUGAUCCGGACUAGAGUGGGGGAGAAGAGGAGCAGAGUGGGGAUGAGGAGCUGCAGGAUGACGAUGGGCAUCAGGAUGAGGAUGACCUAGCGCUGGUGGUGGCUGACCAAGGGCAAGAGAUGGUGGUGGCUGACCAGGUGCAAGAGAUGGUGGUGGCUGACCAUGGGCAAGAGAUGGUGGUGGCUGACCAUGGGCAAGAGAUGGUGGUGGCUGAGGGUGGCCUCGUGAUGGUAGUGGUGCCUGACAAUUACCACGCACCGGUGGUGGCGCCGGCGAUCCCACAGCUAGGCGACAUGACCACGCCAAUUGUGGUAGAAGACUACAUCCCAUAGCUGCCUCCACUGCCUCCACUGCCUCGCCGCUCUUGGCGCAUCAGGCUGAGGAAGGAGAAGGAGAAGAACAAUGAGAACUGAACUAUGUCAGGUAUGUCAGAUCUCCAAAAUGAUAUAUAUAUAUAUACUUAGUUACCUAUUUAUCUCUAAUAUGCUUAGUUUCCUAUAGGUUAGCUCCAAAAUUACUUAUGUUAGCACAAAAUGAUCAAGUUUACAUAAUAAGCUUAUAGUCUUCUUCUUAUUCUUCUUCUUAUCCAAAAUGACAUAGGUUAGCUUCAUUUUACCUAAGUUGGCUCUAAUAUGCUAACUUAGAGCUUAUAUGCUUAGUUUCCUAUAGGUUAGCUCCAAAAUUACUUAUGUUAGCACAAAAUGAUCAAGUUUACAUAAUAAGCUUAUAGUCUUCUUCUUAUUCUUCUUCUUAUCCAAAAUGACAUAGGUUAGCUUCAUUUUACCUAAGUUGGCUCUAAUAUGCUAACUUAGAGCUUAUAUGCUUAGUUUCCUAUAGGUUAGCUCCAAAAUUACUUAUGUUAGCACAAAAUGAUCAAGUUUACAUAAUAAGCUUAUAGUCUUCUUCUUCUUCUUCUUCUUAUCCAAAAUGACAUAGGUUAGCUUCAUUUUACUCAAGUUGGCUCUAAUAUGCUAACUUAGAGCUUAUAUGCUUAGUUUCCUAUAGGUUAGCUCCAAAAUUACUUAUGUUAGCACAAAAUGAUCAAGUUUACAUAAUAAGCUUAUAGUCUUCUUCUUAUUAUUCUUCUUAUUCUUCUUCUAGUCUUCUUCUUCUUCUCUUCUUCUUCUUCUUCUUCUAACUUCUUGUUUAUCAUUUUGCAUAUUUGAUUUAAUUCACGGAAGCUUGCAUGGAUGGAGUGCUUCUUUUCGAUUUGUGUUUUUAUUUUGUAUCAAUGUGAAACUUUUGUGAAUUGAUGGAUAACGGUGUUGAAUGAACGUUGUGAAACUUUUGUAAUAUGUAACGAUGGAACUAUGUGUUGGCUAUGUAUGUAUAUAUGAUGAAACUUGUGUGUUGGAUAUGAUCUGGUGGACGCAGGUAACAUCGUUACAUAUGGCCCCCUGUAUGUAAGCUAAGCAGAUCUGUGUUGUAUGUUAUCUCUAAUAUUUUUUAACCUGUGAAAAUAUCAGAAAUGAAAAAAAAUCCCUAAUAUUCAUACUAGUGGCGCACCACACAAGACAUUAAUGGCGCACUGUUAUAAUCACACUAAUGGCGCAUCACCCAACAGUGCGCCAUUAGUAUGCCAAAGCACAAGGUUAAAUAUGGCCCCCUGGGAGGCAUACUAAUGGCGCAUGGUGUUCUAUACUAAUGGCGCACUGGUCGGUGCGCCAUUAGUAUACCAGAUACUAAUGGCGCACCGGUGGUGCGCCAUUAGUAAGAAAUACUAGUGGCGUGAUACUAAUGGCGCACCAGCAGUGCGCCAUUAGUGGGCAAAACUGGUGCGCCAUACUAGCCCUUUUCCUAGUAGUGUUGGGUUCAACUUGUCAACCAGCUUUGGUGCGGCUGCCCACUUUUGAAAAUCCUUGUUGAUUAUCGACCACCGGGACCGAAGAGAUCGGUCGGAGCGGUCAGUUUCACUCACGUUGCGAACAUCAAAGUGUUCCUUCAUCUGGUUCCAAUAAACAUCUCUACUUUGAUCACCUCCAACGGAUGGAUCCCUCGACACUUGCAACCAAGUAUUGCAUAGUAAGAUAUCUUCGGCGUUGGUGUAAUUGCCCGCUCUUCCUUUUGGUGCAUUGACAAUGCCCUCACCAUCCUCGUCCACCUCUAUAGCGACCAGACCUCAAACGGUCCAAUCUCUGUGCUCCGGUGUCAUCCCUGGAUCAGUAAUGCUGACACCACAUAGUACUUGAAGGAUUUAUAACAGAGUAGCAAUCACACACUUAUUACACCGAGUGUCUCAAUAGAGAACUUAUUACAAUAAAUAUGGCUUAAGGCCAUCUAAUAACGAUAACAGCGGAAGGCUUAGAAGAUAAGUGAGUCCAUCAACUCCAACGGCAUCACUGAGUAUAGAACCACGACCUAAAACUCCUUAAUCGUCGUCUGAAAAGCCUGCAACAUUAACGUUGCAGCCCGAAAACGGGUCAGCACAUGGAAUAUGCUGGCAAGGUAACACAUAGAGAGUAAUGGAAUGAAACAGCUAUACUAUAUGCAUCUUUGGCUGGUGGAAAGCUCUAUGGUUACAGUUUUGUGAAAAGCCAUUUUUUCCCUACUGCAAAGGAAUAAAUUUAUUUAACUAUCAUGGUGGUUGUUAAACAUUGAGAAUGGUUGACAGCAUUCUCAAUCCCAAUUAAACAUCAUUAAACAAACCCGUCAAACUUAAUUUUAUAGUAACAUGUUGAGAUUCACAUGAUAAUCCAAGUACUAGAUACUCAAGAUGUCCAUGACCGGGGAUAUGGCUAACCAUGAUUAGUUUAUACACUCUGCAGAGGUUUGCGCACUUUUCCCCACAAGACUCGAUCUCCUCCGUUGGAUUUCUCGCACUACAGGGUGUUUGAGAAACGGAUGACCGAGACAUAGUCUUUCAGAAGAGCUAGCACCUUACGAUCGGGUAGACCGUACCACCUACAUCCCCUACAUCUGCUAGUCUACCACUGUAAGAGUUCGCACGACUUAGUCAACUAUGCUAGAGCCCAUAAUAGCUUGUGGCUGCACACGGAAGUUUCUAGCAUGAAUAAUCUCAUGAUCCCUUUGAGCCUGGGUGGCGGUCCAAAAGAAACAGGAAAUCCUGGAAUACCCAGGUACCUCAAUCCACCCAAAUGUGUAUUUAAGUUGCCACCUUAGAUAAACCAUUGAUUUAAAAGAAAUCUCACAUCUGUCAUGGAUAUCACUCACCCAAUCCACGUCUACUAGCAUAGCAUAGCAAUAGUAAGCAAACGUAGAAGUAACUCCCAAGGUUUGAUAAUAAACAGGUAAUAGGUACUACCUCAACUACUUCCUAAACCCACAAUUUAAUUAGAUCCUAAUCAUGCAAUGUGUAGAGAUUGAUCUAAUGCAAUAAAACUGGGUAGUAGAAGGUAUGAUCAAAGUGUUACUUGCCUUGCUGAUGAUCCGGGAAACCUAGUGAUUCGAAGUAACAAGCGGCGCACUCUGGGUACUCUAUCACAAAAAAACAAGCAUACAAUAAGUACUCAACUAAUGCACAGGUAAAACUCAAAUAAGAGAUAUAACCAGAAAGUUCAACUUAAGAACUCCGGUUGGCAAAAAGAAUCAAAUCGAACGAAGCAACGAAAGACAAACGGCAAAAGAAAAAGGCUUCGAUUACUAUUCUGGAUCUAGGGCAAUUUUUACAGAACAAAAACUUGUUUAAGUUGGUUAAACGGAAAGAGGGUUUCAAGACAAAACUCCAGGCGCUUGAAUCGCCUGAUUCCGAUAAACGAGCGAAAAGUUAUACUAAAACGAAAGUCGGAUCAGAAAUCGUGAUCAGAAAUAUCGCGGAUUUAAUCCAAGAAAAAGAAAACAACGAACAGGUUAACGAACGAACGUUCGUUAACUGGAUCUAAACGACAAACACGUUCGUUAAAAUGAAUGAACGAGCGAACGCUCACUAAAUAGACUAAACCGAAAAUAAAACCGAUCUAAUAAAAAAACAAAAUCUAAAAAGAAUAAACCCUCGACUUUUAAAAAAACCGCCGGCGACGGCAGCUACCUCGGGCGGCGUGGCGGCUCCGGCGAGCGGGCGAGGCGGCNNNNNNNNNNNNNNNNNNNNNNNNNNNNNNNNNNNNNNNNNNNNNNNNNNNNNNNNNNNNNNNNNNNNNNNNNNNNNNNNNNNNNNNNNNNNNNNNNNNNNNNNNNNNNNNNNNNNNNNNNNNNNNNNNNNNNNNNNNNNNNNNNNNNNNNNNNNNNNNNNNNNNNNNNNNNNNNNNNNNNNNNNNNNNNNNNNNNNNNNNNNNNNNNNNNNNNNNNNNNNNNNNNNNNNNNNNNNNNNNNNNNNNNNNNNNNNNNNNNNNNNNNNNNNNNNNNNNNNNNNNNNNNNNNNNNNNNNNNNNNNNNNNNNNNNNNNNNNNNNNNNNNNNNNNNNNNNNNNNNNNNNNNNNNNNNNNNNNNNNNNNNNNNNNNNNNNNNNNNNNNNNNNNNNNNNNNNNNNNNNNNNNNNNNNNNNNNNNNNNNNNNNNNCGGGGCGACGGCGGCGGUGGCGGGGCGGCGGCUAAGGUUAGGGUUAGGGCGCGGGUGGGCUGGUGGGCUAGUGGGCUGCGGCGGGGCUCGGGCGGCGCUAUUUAAAGGCUGCCCCGGGCGGAGUCCCACUCGGGUACGGCCCGGAGUCGGUUCGGACUUUUUUUAAAAAAAUUAAUUCUGCGCAGAAAAACAAAUAAAAGAAAUACUAAACAGACUCCAAAAAUCCCGAAAUAAAUUUUCCCCGGCUUCUAAAAUCAAGCCGCACAGGAUGAACAUUUAUUUGGGGCCUAAAUGCAAUUUUGAAAAACGCGCAUUUUUCCUAAAUUCAAAUAAAAUAGCAAAUAAAACCAAAAAAAUAUUAUUUGCUUUUUUUAUUAAAUCCUCACUAUUUCUUUAUUUUGGGAAAGUCAUUUUAUUCCUUCUCUCAUAUUUUUGUAAUAUAAAUUAUUGAAGAUAAAAUAAAUCAAAUCAAAUGAUCCUAUUUUCAAAAUUUGAGACAACUCAAAUAUGAAAAUAACGAAAUCCCCAACUCUCUCCGAGGGUCCUUGAGUUGCGAAACAUUUCUAGGGUCGACCAAAAUGCAAUAAAUAUGAUAUACAAUGAUGAUCUAGUGUAUAACAUUCCAAAUUGAAAUUUUGGGAUGUUACAAACCUACCCCCCUUAAGAUGAAUCUCGCCCUCAAGAUUCGGGUUGGCUAGAAAAUAGGUGAGGGUGGUCCUUCAGCAAAUCUUCCUCUCGUUCCCAAGUGGCUUCAUCCUCCAUGUGGUGGCUCCACUGAACUUUGCAAAAAUUGAUAACCUUGCUGCGGUUGACUCGACUGGCAUACUCUAGAAUCUUAACUGGUUUCUCCUCAUAGGUCAAAUCACUGUCCAACUGAAUUGCUUCCAGUGGUACCGUAUCCCUCAGCGGUAUGUCAGUCAUCCCUGCGUGGCACUUCUUCAACUGGGAUACAUGAAACACGUCGUGAACUCCUGAUAGUCCUUCGGGUAAUUCCAACUUGUAGGCUACUUCUCCCAUACGUUCCAACACUUUGUAUGGGCCUACAAAACGUGGCGCUAGUUUUCCCUUAACUCCAAAGCGCUUAACUCCUCGAAGUGGUGAUACUCGAAGAUAAACUCGGCCUCCGACUUCGUAACAUGUCUCCUUGCGUUUAGAGUCUGCAUAACUCUUCUGCCUGGAUUGAGCUACCUUUAGUCUGUCACGAAUUAAUUUCACUUUUUGUUCAGAUUCCUUUAUCAGAUCCGGUCCAAACAACGGGCGAUCUCCAACUUCAUCCCAGGACAAUGGGGUCCUGCACCUCCUUCUGUACAAGGCUUCGAAAGGGGCCAUCUUCAAACUGGAUUGGUAGAUGUUGUUGUAAGAGAACUCUGCAUAUGGCAAAUUCUCAUCCCAACUAGAUCCGUAAUCUAGCGCACAAGCUCUUAGCAUAUCCUCCAAGAUCCGGUUGACUCUCUCAGUCUGUCCAUCUGUCUGCGGGUGGAAAGCUGUGCUAAACUCUAGUCUGGUUCCCAAAGUCUCAUGCAAUUGAUUCCAGAACUUUGAAGUAAACUGGGUUCCUCUAACUGAUACAAUGCUCCUCGAAACUCCAUACCGACAUAUGAUCCUGGUCAUGUAUAUCUUUGCCAACUUUGCACUGGUAUAGGUAGUCUUCACUGGAAUGAAAUGAGCUACCUUUGUCAAAUGAUCGACUACAACCCAUAUCGAGUCAUAGCCUGAACGUGUUGUAGGCAAUCCUGUAAUAAAAUCCAUGCCUAGCUUAUCCCACUUCCAUUCGGGUAUCGGCAAUGGUUGUAGCAAUCCUGCUGGCUUCUGAUGCUCUGCCUUCACUCUCUGACAUACAUCACAAACUGCUACAUAUUCCGCAAUAUUCUUCUUCAUUCCGGUCCACCAGAAAAUAUCCUUCAAAUCCAAAUACAUCUUGGUAUUUCCUGGGUGAAUCGAAUAUGGUGAAUCAUGGGCCUCUUGCAGAAUUAGCUUUCUAAUCUCCGGAUCAUUUGGUACAUAGACGCGGUCUCCAAACCAUAGGGUAUCGUGUCCAUCCUCACGAAAUCCCUUAGCUUUUCCUUUGCUAAUUUUCUCCUUAAUAGAAGCAAUCUCCUUGUCAGUCCUUUGGGCUUCUCUGAGUUUAUCCAUCAAUGUAGGCUGAAUCUCCAAUGCUGCUACAUAGCCUCUCGGGACUAUUUCUAAACAUAACUCUUGAAGAUUUUUGGCUAACUCCCUUGGUAAUUCUCCCGUCAUUAGGGUGUUGACAUGGCUCUUACGGCUUAAUGCGUCAGCUACUACAUUAGCCUUUCCGGGGUGAUAAUGCAAUUUCAUAUCAUAAUCCUUGAUGAGCUCCAACCAUCUCCUUUGUCUGAGAUUCAACUCCUUCUGUGUGAAAAUAUACUUCAAACUCUUAUGAUCCGUAUACACCUCGCAAUGGUUUCCAAUCAGAAAAUGUCUCCAAGUCUUCAGUGCAUGCACUACGGCUGCUAACUCCAAAUCAUGCGUAGCAUAAUUCAACUCAUGAGGCUUAAGCUGUCGUGAGGCAUAUGAAACAACUUUCCCUUCCUGCAUAAGCACUGCUCCAAGUCCUCGACGUGAAGCGUCGCAAUACACCUCAUAAUCCUUGGUCUGGUCUAGCAAAAUCAACACUGGUGAAGUAACCAAGCGUUUCUUCAACUCCUGAAAACUAGCCUCAGAUUCCUCCGUCCAUAUGAACUUGGUAUCCUUUUUCAACAACUCCGUCAUAGGCUUCGCAAUCUUUGAGAAAUUCUCAAUAAACCUCCGGUAGUAUCCUGCCAGUCCAAGAAAACUCCGAUCUCUCCCACGGUGAUUGGUGCUUCCCACUUGGUCACGGUAUCAACUUUAGUGGGAUCUACUGCUAUACCUUCUCCGGAUAUAACGUGUCCGAGAAAUCCAACUUCCUUCAACCAAAACUCACAUUUGAUAAACUUGGCAUAUAAUUGGUGUUCUCUGAGCUUUCCAAGAACCAAACGCAAAUGUUCCUUAUGCUCCUCUUCAUUCUUCGAGUAAACCAGGAUAUCAUCAAUGAACACUACGACGAACUUAUGCAAGAACUCCAUAAACACCUUGUUCAUCAUGUUCAUAAAAUAUGCAGGUGCGUUAGUCAGACCAAAUGACAUAACGGUAUACUCAUACAGCCCAUACCUGGUGGUAAAAGCCGUCUUGGGUAUAUCAUGUUCCCGAAUCUUCAACUGGUGGUAUCCUGAUCGCAGAUCGAUCUUGGAAAAUACCUUAGCUCCUUGCAAUCGAUCAAACAGAUCAUUGAUCAUCGGUAGUGGGUACUUAUUCUUGAUGGUUACUUCAUUCAAUCCUCGAUAAUCGACAACCAUCCUUAACGAUCCAUCCUUCUUCCCCACUAGAAGUACUGGCGAUCCCCCAAGGUGAAGAACUUGGGCGAAUAUAACCUUUAUCCAGUAACUCCUUAAUUUGCUUCUUAAUUUCCACCAAAUCCUUUGCAGGCAUCCUAUAUGGUCUCUUUGACAUUGGCCCUGUGCCUAGCAAUAGCUCAAUCAAAAACUCAAUAUCUCUAUCCGGUGGCAUGCCUGGCAACUCUUCUAGAAAUACUUCAGGGAAAUCCUUUACUACUGGUACUGCCUCCUGCACAACUCCUGUUAAGCAAUUUACUUGAGUCCUCUUUGGCACAUGUCGGGAUACAUACUUGAUCCUUCUUCCUUCUGGGGUGGUAAGCAAAAUUGACUUACUAGCACAUUCAAUAUUCCCUUCAUACUUUGAUAACCAAUCCAUGCCUAAUAUCACAUCCAAUCCUUGGGAUUCCAAUACUAUUAGGUCUGAGGGGAAAACAUAGUUACCAAUCCUUAAUGGUAACCAAUCACACCAUAGACUAGCCGUAUAUUCUUCUCCAGGCGAGGCUACUAACAUGGGUGACCUAAGGGCUUGGGUUGCCAGUUUAUACUUAUCCACAAAUCCCCUGGAUAUGUAUGAAUGCGAUGCACCAGUAUCGAAAAGAACGAGAGCAGUAAAUGACUUAACCAAAAACUUACCGAUUACUGCAUCCGGUUGUUCUUCAACCUCCUCCACACUAACGUGGUUCACCUGUCCCUUGUUGAAAGGGUUCGGCUUCUUCCCAGAGCUUCCAUUGCCAUUUCCAUUUUGUGAUUCAGGACAUUCAUUGGCAUAAUGUCCGGUCUUCUAGCACUUAAAGCAAGUGACUUGACUCAGGUCUUUCUUGGCUGGGUUUGAUGGGUUGGUACGGUUCUGGUCGUUGCUUCCUGAAGGAAAUAUGCCCUAGAGGCAAUAAUAAAGUUAUUAUUUAUGUCCUUAUUUCAUGAUAAAUGUUUAUUAUUCAUGCUAGAAUUGUAUUAACUGGAAACAUAAUACAUGUGUGAAUACAUAGACAAACAGAGUGUCACUAGUAUGCCUCUACUUGACUAGCUCGUUAAUCAAAGAUAGUUAUGUUUCCUAACCAUAGACAAACAGUUGUUAUUUGAUUAACGGGAUCACAUCAUUAGGAGUUGUUAUUUUACUAACUUGACCCAUUCUGUUAGCUUAGCACUCGAUCGUUUAGUAUGUUGCUAUUGCUUUCUUCAUGACUUAUACAUGUUCCUAUGACUAUGAGAUUAUGCAACUCCCGAUUACCGGAGGAACACUUUGUGCGCUACCAAAUGUCACAACGUAACUGGGUGAUUAUAAAGGAGCUCUACAGGUGUCUCCAAAGGUACAUGUUGGGUUGGCGUAUUUCGAGAUUAGGAUUUGUCACUCCGAUUGUCGGAGAGGUAUCUCUGGGCCCUCUCGGCAAUGCACAUCACAUAAGCCUUGCAAGCAUUGUAACUAAUGAGUUAGUUGCGAGAUGACGUAUUACGAAACGAGUAAAGAGACUUGCCGGUAACAAGAUUGAACUAGGUAUUAAGAUACCAACGAUCGAAUCUCGGGCAAGUAACAUACCAAUGACAAAGGGAACAAUGUAUGUUGUUAUGCGGUCUGACUGAUAAAGAUCUUCGUAGAAUAUGUAGGAGCCAAUAUGAGCAUCCAGGUUUCGCUAUUGGUUAUUGACCGGAGGCAUGUCUCGGUCAUGUCUACAUUGUUCUCGAACCCGUAGGGUCCGCACGCUUAAGGUUUCGAUGACAGUUAUAUUAUGAGUUUAUGAGUUUUGAUGUACCGAAGGAGUUCGGAGUCUCGGAUGAGAUCGGGGACAUGACGAGGAGUCUCGAAAUGGUCGAGACGUAAAGAUCGAUAUAUUGGAUGACUAUAUUCGGACAUCGGAAAGGUUCCGAGUGGUUCGGGUAUUUUUCGGAGUACUAGGGAGUUACGGGAAUACGGGGGAUGAAGUAUAUGGGCCUUAUUGGGCUUUAGAGGAGAGGGAGAGGCAGGCCGCGCGCCCCCCCCAUUGACUAGUCCGAAUUGGACUAGGGGGGGGGUGGCUCCCCCUCCUUCCUUCUCUUCCCUCUUCCCCUUCCUUAUCUCCUAAUCCUACUACUUGGAAGAACUCCUAGUUGUACUAGGAAAGGGGGAAUCCUACUCCCGGUGGGAGUAGGACUCCCCUAGGGCGCGCCAUAGAGAGGGCUGGCCCUCCCAUCCUCCACUCCUUUAUAUAAGGGGACAGGGGGCACCCCAAAGACACACAAGUUGAUCUUCGUGAUCAUUCUCUUAGCCGUGUACGGUGCCCCCCCUUCACCAUAAUCCUUGAUAAUACUGUAGAGGUGCUUAGGCGAAGCCCUACGGCGGUAGAACAUCAAGAUCGUCACCACGCCGUCGUGCUGACGGAACUCUUCCCCGACACUUUGCUGGAUCGGAGUCCGGGGAUCGUCAUCGAGCUGAACGUGUGCAAGAACUCGGAGGUGUCGUAGUUUCGGUGCUUGAUCAGUCGGGCCGUGAAGACGUACGACUACAUCAACCGUGUUGGCAUAACGCUUCCGCUGUCGGUCUACGAGGGUACGUAGAUUACACUCUCCCCUCUUGUUGCUAUGCAUCACCAUGAUCUUGCGUGUGCAUAGGGGAAUUUUUGAAAUUACUACGUUCUCCAACAGUGGUAUCAGAGCCUAGGUUUUAUGUGUUGAUGUUAUAUGCACGAGUAGAACACAAGUGAGUUGUGGGCGAUAUAAGUCAUACUGCUUACUACCAUGUCAUACUUUGGUUCGGCGGUAUUGUUGGAUGAAGCGGCCCAGACCGACAUUACGCGUACGCUUACGCGAGACUGGUUCUACCGACGUGCUUUGCACACAGGUGGCUGGCGGGUGUGAGUUUCUCCAACUUUAGUUGAACCGAGUGUGGCUACGCCCGGUCCUUGCGAAGGUUAAAACAACACCAACUUGACAAAUCGUUGUGGUUUUGAUACGUAGGUAAGAUUGGUUCUUGCUAAGCCCGUAGCAGCCACGUAAAAUUUGCAACAACAAAGUAGAGGACAUCUAACUUGUUUUUGCAGGGCAUGUUGUGAUGUGAUAUGGUCAAGACGUGAUGAGAUAUAAGUUCUUGUAUGAGAUGAUCAUGUUUUGUUGAAUUUAUCGGCAACUGGCAGAAGCCUUAUGGUUGUCUUUUUAUUGCAUAAGAUGCAAGCGCCAAAUAAUUGCUUUACUUUAUCGCUGUGCGAUAGCAAUAGUUGCAAGAGCAAUAGUUGGCGAGACGACCAUGUGACGACACAUUGAUAUAGAUCAAGAUGAUGGAGAUCAUGGUGUCAUGCCAGUGACGAUAGAGAUCAUGACGGUACUUUGGAGAUGGAGAACAAAGGCGCAAGAUGAUUAUGACCAUAUCAUGUCACAUAUAUUGAUUGCAUGUGAUGUUUAUCUUUUAUGCAUCUUAUCUUGCUUUGAUUGACGGUAGCUUUAUAAGAUGAUCUCUCACUAAAUUAUCAAGGUAUAAGUGUUCUCCCUGAGUAUGCACCAUUGCGAAAGUUCUUCGUGCUGAGACACCACGUGAUGAUCGGGUGUGAUAGGCUCUACGUUCAAAUACAACGGGUGCAAAACAGUUGCGCACGCGGAAUACUCAGGUUAAACUUGACGAGCCUAGCAUAUACAGAUAUGGCCUCGGAACACUGGAGAUCGAAAGGUCCAGCGUGAAUCAUAUAGUAGAUAUGAUCAACAUAGUGAUGUUCACCAUUGAAAACUACUCCAUCUCACGUGAUGAUCGGACAUGGUUUAGUUGAUUUGGAUCACGUGAUCACUCAGAUGAUUAGAGGGAUGUCUAUCUAAGUGGGAGUUCUUAAGUAAUAUGAUUAAUUGAACUUAAAUUUAUUAUGAACUUAGUCCUAGUAGUAUUUUGCAAAUUAUGUUGUAGAUCAAUAGCUCGCGUUGUUGCUUUCAUAUGUUUAUUUUGAUAUGUUCCUAGAGAAAAUUGUGUUGAAAGAUGUUAGUAGCAAUGAUGCGGAUUGGAUCCGUGAUCUGAGGUUUAUCCUCAUUGCUGCAUAAAAGAAUUAUGUCCUUGAUGCACCGCUAGGUGACAUACCUAUUGCAGGAGCAGAUGCAGACGUUAUGAACAUUUGGCUAGCUCAAUAUGAUGACUACUUGAUAGUUUAGUGCACCAUGCUUAACGGCUUAGAAUCGGGACUUCAAAGACAUUUUGAACGUCGAGGACCAUAUGAGAUGUUCCAGGAGUUGAAGUUAAUAUUUCAAGCAAAUACCCGAGUUGAGAGAUAUGAAGUCUCCAACAAGUUCUGUAGAUAAAAGAUGGAGGAGAAUCGCUCAACUAGUGAGCAUGUGCUUAGAUUGUCUGGGUACUACAAUCGCUUGAAUCAAGUGGGAGUUAAUCUUCCAGAUAAAAUAGUGAUUGACAGAAUUCUCUAGUCACCAUCACCAAGUUAGUAGAACUUCGUGAUGAACUAUGAUAUGCAAGGGAUAACAGAAACGAUUCCCAAGCUCUUUGUAAUGCUGAAAUUGACGAAGGUAGAAAUCGAGAAAAACAUCAAGUGUUGAUGGUAGACAACACCACUAGUUUCAAGAAAAGGGAAAAGGGAAAAAGGGGAACUUCAAGAAGAACAUCAAGCAAGUUGCUGCUCAAGUGAAGAAGCCCAAGUCUGGUCCUAAGCCUGAGACUAAGUGAUUCUACUGCAAAGGGACUUGUCACUGGAAGCGGAACUACCCCAAGUGAUUGGCGGAUAAGAAGGAUGGCAAAGUGAACAUAAGUAUAUUUGAUAUACAUGUUAUUAAUGUGUACUUUACUAGUGUUUAUAGCAACCCCUCAGUAUUUGAUACUAGUUCAGUUGCUAAGGUUAGUAACUCGAAAUGGGAGUUGCAGAAUAAAUAGAGACUAGUUUAGGGUGAAGUGACGAUGUGUGUUGGAAGUGGUUCCAAGAUUGGUAUGAUCAUCAUCGCACACUCCCUAUACUUUUGGUAUUAGUGUUGAAACUAAAUAUGUGUUAUUUGGUGUUUGCGUUGAGCAUAAAUAUGAUUGGAUCAUGUUUAUUGCAAUACAGUUAUUCAUGUAAGUUAGAGAAUAAUUGUUGUUCUGUUUACAUGAAUAAAACCUUCUAUGGUCAUACACCCAAUGAAAAUGGUUUGUUGGAUCUCGAUCGUGGUGAUACACAUAUUCAUAAUAUUGAAGCCAAAAGAUGCAAAGUUAAUAAUGAUAGUGCAACUUAUUUGUGGCACUGCCGUUUAGGUCAUAUUGGUGUAAAGCGCAUGAAGAAACUCCAUGCUGAUGGGUUUUUGGAAUCACUUGAUUAUGAAUCAGUUGAUGCUUGCGAACCAUGCCUCAUGGGCAAGAUGAUUAAGACUCCGUUCUCCGGAACAAUGGAGCGAGCAACAGAUUUGUUGGAAAUCAUACAUACUGAUGUAUGUGGUCCGAUGAAUGUUGAAGCUCACGGCGGGUAUCGUUAUUUUCUGACCUUCACAGAUGAUUUGAGCAGAUAUGGGUAUAUCUACUUGAUGAAACAUAAGUCUGAAACAUUUGAAAAGUUCAAAUAAUUUCAGGGUGAAGUGGAAACUCAUCGUGACAAGAAAAUAAGGUUUCUACGAUCUGAUCGCGGAGACAAAUAUUUUAGUUAUGAGUUUGGUCUUCAAUUAAAACAAUGUGGAAUAGUUUCACAAACUCAUGCCACCUGGAACACCACAGCAUAAUGCUGUGUCCGAAUGUCAUAACCGUACUUUAUUGGAUAUAGUGCAAUCUAUGAUGUUUCUUACCAAUUUACCAAUAUUGUUUUGGGAUUAUGCAUUAGAGACAACUGCAUUCACAUUAAAUAGGGCACCAUCUAAAUCUGUUGAGACGACACUAUAUGAACUAUGGUUUAGCAAGAAACCAAAGUUGUCGUUUCUUAAAGUUUGGGGUUGUGAUGCUUAUGUGAAAAAGUUUCAUCCUGAUAAGCUCAAACCCAAAUCAGAGAAAUGCGUCUUCAUAGGAUACCCAAAGGAGACAGUUGGGUACACCUUCUAUCACAGAUCCGAAGGCAAGAUAUUCGUUGCUUAGAAUGGAUCCUUUCUAGAGAAGGAGUUUCUCUCAAAAGAAGUGAGUGGGAGGAAAGUAGAACUUGAUGAAGUAACUGUACCCGCUCCCUUAUUGGAAAGUAGUUCAUCACAGAAAUAUGUUCCUGUGACUACUACACCAAUUAGUGAGGAAGCUAAUGAUGAUGAUCAUGUAACUUCAGAUCAAGUUGCUACCGAACCUCGUAGGUAAACCAGAGUGAGAUCCGCACCAGAGUGGUACAGUAAUCCUAUUCUGGAGGUCAUGUUACUUGACCAUGACGAGCCCACGAACUAUGAGGAAGCGAUGAUGAGCCCAGAUCCCGCGAAAUGGCUUGAGGCCAUGAAAUCUGAGAUGAGAUCCAUGUAUGAGAACAAAGUAUGGACUUUGAUUGACUUGCCCAUUGAUAGGUGAGCCAUUAAGAUUAAAUGGAUUUUCAAGAGGAAGAUGGACGCUGAUAGUAGUGUUACUAUCUACAAAGCUAGAAUUGUCGCAAAAAGGUUUUUCGACAAAUUCAAGGUGUUGACUACGAUGAGAGUUUCUCACUCGUAACUAUGCUUAAGUCUGUCCGAAUCAUGUUAGAAAUUGCCACAUUUUAUGAAAUCUGGCAAAUGGAUAAACAAAACUGCAUUCCUUAAUGGAUUUAUUAAAGAAGAGUUGUAUAUGAUGCAACCGGGAGGUUUUGUCAAUCCUAAAGGUACUAACAAAAUAUGCAAGCUCCAGCGAUCCAUCUAUGGACUGGUGCAAGCAUCUCGGAGUUGGAAUAUACGCUUUGAUAAGUUGAUCAAAGCAUAUAGUUUUAUACAGACUUACGUUGAAGCCUGUAUUUACAAGAAAGUGAGUGGGAGCACUACAGCACUUCUGAUAAGUAUAUGUGAAUAACAUAUUGUUGAUCGGAGAUAAUGUAGAAUUAUUCUGCAAAGCAUAAAGGAGUGUUUGAAAGGAGUUUUUCAAAGAAAGACCUCGGUGAAGCUGCUUACAUAUUGAGCAUCAAGAUCUAUAGAGAUAGAUCAAGACGCUUGAUAAGUUUUUUCAAUGAGUACAUACCUUGACAAGAUUUUGAAGUAGUUCAAAAUGGAACAGUCAAAGAAAGAGUUAUUGCCUGUGUUACAAGGUGUGAAAUAGAGUAAGACUCAAAGCCCGACCACGGCAGAAGAUAGAAAGAGAAUGAAAGUCAUUCCCUAUGCCUCAGCCAUAGGUUCUAUAAAGUAUGACAUGCUAUGUACCAGAUCUAUUGUAUACCCUACACUGAUUUUGGCAAGGGAGUACAAUAGCGAUCUAGGAGUAGUCACUAGACAUCGGUCAAAAUUAUCCUUAGUGGAAUAAGGAUAUGUUUCUCGAUUAUGGAGGUGACAAAAGGUUCGUCGUAAAAGGAUUACGUUGAUACAAGUUUUUGGCACUGAUCUGGAUGGCUCUAAGUCUUCAUCUGGAUACAUAUUGAAAGUGGGAGCAAUUGGUUAAAGUAGAUCCAUGCAGAGCAUUGUAGACAUAGAAAUUUGCAAAAUACAUACGGAUCUGAAUUUUGGCAGACUCGUUGACUAAGCUUCUCUCACAAGCAAAACAUGAUCACACCUUAGUACUCUUUGGGUGUUAAUCACAUAUAGAUGUGAACUAGAUUAUUGACUCUAGUAAACCCUUUGAGUGUUGGUCACAUAAUGAUGUGAACUAUUGGUGUUAAAUCACAUGGCAAUGUGAACUAGAUUAUUGACUCUAGUGCAAGUGGGAGACUGAAGGAAAUAUGCCCUAGAGGCAAUAAUAAAGUUAUUAUUUAUUUCCUUAUUUCAUGAUAAAUGUUUAUUAUUCAUGCUAGAAUUGUAUUAACCGGAAACAUAAUACAUGUGUGAAUACAUAGACAAACAGAGUGUCACUAGUAUGCCUCUACUUGACUAGCUCGUUAAUCAAAGAUGGUUAUGUUUCCUAACCAUAGACAAAGAGUUGUUAUUUGAUUAACGGGAUCACAUCACUAGGAGAAUGAUCUGAUUGACAUGACCCAUUUCAUUAGCUUAGCACCCGAUCAUUUAGUAUGUUGCUAUUGCUUUCUUCAUGACUUAUACAUGUUCUUAUGACUAUGAGAUUAUGCAACUCCCGUUUACCGGAGGAACACUUUGUGUGCUACCAAACGUCACAAUGUAACUGGGUGAUUAUGAAGGAGCUCUACAGGUGUCUCCAAAGGUACAUGUUGGGUUGGCGUAUUUCGAGAUUAGGAUUUGUCAUUCUGAUUGUCGGAGAGGUAUCUUUGGUCCCUCUCGGUAAUGCACAUCACAUAAGCCUUGCAAGCAUUGCAACUAAUGAGUUAGUUGCGAGAUGAUGUAUUACGGAACGAGUAAAGAGACUUGCCGGUAACGAGAUUGAACUAGGUACUAAGAUACCGACGAUCGAAUCUCGGGCAAGUAAGAUACCGAUGACAAAGGGAACAACGUAUGUUGUUAUGCGGUCUGACCGAUAAAGAUCUUCGUAGAAUAUGUAGGAGACAAUAUGAGCAUCCAGGUUCCUCUAUUGGUUAUUGACCGGAGACAUGUCUCAGUCAUGUCUACAUUGUUCUCGAACCCAUAGGGUCCGCACGCUUAAGGUUUCGAUGACAGUUAUAUUAUGAGUUUAUGAGUUUUGAUGUACCGAAGGAGUUCGGAGUCCCGGAUGAGAUCGGGGACAUGACAAGGAGUCUCGAAAUGGUCGAGACAUAAAGGUCGAUAUAUUGGAUGACUAUAUUCGGACAUCAGAAAGGUUUUGAGUGGUUCGGGUAUUUUUCGGAGUAUCGGGGAGUUACGGGAAUACGGGGGAAGAAGUAUAUGGGCCUUAUUGGGCUUUAGGGGAGAGGGAGAGGCAGCCCCCCCCCCCCAUUGACUAGUACGAAUUGGACUAGGGGGAGGGGCGGCGCCCCCUCCUUCCUUCUCUUCCCUCUUCCCCUUCCUUGUCUCCUAAUCCUACUACUUGGAAGAACUCCUAGUUGUACUAGGAAAGGGGGAAUCCUACUCCCGGUGGGAGUAGGACUCCCCUAGGGCGCGCCAUAGAGAGGGCCGGCCCUCCCCUCCUCCACUCCUUUAUAUACGGGGACAGGGGGCACCCCAAAGACACACAGGUUGAUCUUCGCGAUCGUUCUCUUAGACGUGUACGGUGCCCCCCUCCACCAUAAUCCUCGAUAAUAUUGUAGCGGUGCUUAGGCGAAGCCCUGCGACGGUAGAACAUCAAGAUCGUCACCAUGUCGUCGUGCUUACGGAACUCUUCCCCGACACUUUGCUGGAUCGGAGUCCGGGAUCGUCAUCGAGCUGAACGUGUGCAAGAACUCGGAGGUGUCGUAGUUUCGGUGCUUGAUCGGUCGGGCCAUGAAGACGUACGACUACAUCAACCGCGUUGUCAUAACGCUUCCGCUGUCGGUCUAUGAGGGUACGUAGAUUACACUCUCCCCUCUUGUUGCUAUGCAUCACCAUGAUCUUGCGUGUGCGUAGGGAAAUUUUUGAAAUUACUACAUUCUCCAACACUUCCUCCAUUACCAUUACCAUUCCUGGGGCCAUUGUGAUUGUGUGAGCUACCUCCUCCAUGUGUAUGCUGAAAAUGUCCUCCCGGUCUAGGGGUAAAUCGUGGCUUCUGCUGAGCUCCUGAAUUGUACUUUCCUUGUCCAUACUUCCUCUUGCGAUUCUCAAUUUGCUGCUGCUUCCCUUCAAUCAUAAGAGCACGAUCUACCAACUCCUGGUAGUUGUUGAAGGUUGCUACCAUCAACUGCAUGCUCAACUCAUCAUUCAGUCCUUCCAGAAACUUCUCCUGCUUAGCUGCAUCCGUAGCAACGUCAUCUAGGGCAUAACGUGCUAAUUUACUAAAGUCCUCCACAUACUGGCCAACUGUCCGUCCUCCUUGGCGCAAGUUGCGAAACUCUCGCUUCUUCAUGGCCAUAGCUCCUGCUGAAACAUGGGCAGUUCGAAAAGCCUGCUGAAACUAGUCCCAUGUGACAGUGUCGACAGGGAAAGUGGCUGUGAAAUUCUCCCACCAUGAUGUUGCGGGUCCUUCAAGAUGAUGUGCGGCAAACUUCACCUUCUCCGCAUCCGUGCAUCCUGCUGUGGUCAACUCUCUAGCUGUCUUGUGGAGCCAAUCAUCUGCUACUAUCGGCUCGGUGCUACUGGAAAACACCGGCGGAUUCAGCCUAAGAAAACGGGCUAAGUGAUCAACAGGUGGUGGUGGUGGUGGGUUGUUGUUGUUGUUCCCCUGAUUUUGAUUCUGGACUAGCAACUGCAUCAAUGUGUUCUCCUGCUAGAUCAACUGAGUGAGCUCCGGUGGAAAGGUAAAUCCGGGGUCACGUCUCGGAGGCAUCUGAGGGUUUAGAAAAGAUGAGAUUUAAGAAUAGAGGGGGUAUAAAGAGAAAACACUACCCAUAUGCACAUGAGGUAAAAGCAAACAGUUCACUUCAUUCAAUCAAACAAGGGCAUACAAUCGAUCUAACUAUCGCAAAAGUGCUCGGACUAUUGUAUUUACAUGGUGGACUACUACUACUGAUGAGGUGGUCUACUAGAAAUAUUCUUCGGUUGCAGACUCCAUGAUAUCUGCUCCGACUUCAUCAACAUAGUCAUCAUCGCUAUCAUCUGGAUCUGAGUCGGUGUCGUCGAUGAUGAUGUAGUCUUCCGGGUGAAUCUCCUUGGGUUCUUCGUCUUCAUCUACUGGUGUAGGGCCUCCCAUAAAUAUCCCGAUCUUCAUUGUUAGGUCGGCAUUCUUAUCCACUAAUACUUCAAUUUCUUCUUCAAAAUCUUCACGUGUAGCCUUGAGUUCUUCCUCCAGUUCCUUGAUUCUUGUCCUUGCCUUCUUCAGGUCUAUCAUGUCGGCGCACAUCUGGUUCUCCUGACGUCGAAUGUGCUGGUUUAAUUCCUGGAUAAAAGCUGCAAUUGAUCUAUCCUUUCUGGUGUUGAUCAUCUCCCAGUGCUCAUCUCGGCGCCCACAAAUCUGGUAGAUAGUAUCCUUGAGAUCAUUGCGGUAGACUUCUCCAAUGCGUCCCAUGGCGAUGUGAGCUGCCAUGCUCUUUCCUAGACUCCAAGUUGGUGCAUCAAAAGAAAACUCUAUGGGCUCAGUGACUGGCAUGAACGUCCUUCCUCGAACUUGAACUUGAAUCAUCCAGGGCUCUUCUUCAGGUAAAGUGGCAUUGUAGGUUCCGGUGAAGCUUGGUACUCCUAUGUUUAGAUAUCUAAUGACUUCCUUCAAGUGACGUCCAAAGAGUGUAUCUUCAUCCAGUUGCGUGAACUUGUUCCUUGCAUCCGCCAUCCCAAAGAGUAGAAAAGAUGAGAGGUCAGAAGAGAAGAGAGUGAGUAGUGAUCUAGGUCUUUAGCUUAGUGGUCGUGUCCUACAGUCAGCGUGUGCUUUGAUACCAUCUUGUAGCGACCAGACCUCAAACGGUCCAAUCUCUGUGCUCCGGUGUCAUCCCUGGAUCAGUAAUGCUGACACCACAUAGUACUUGAAGAAUUUAUAAUAGAGUAGCAAUCACACACUUAUUACAUCGAGUGUCUCAAUAGAGAACUUAUUACAAUAAAUAUGGCUUAAGGCCAUCUAAUAAUGAUAACAGCGGAAGGCUUAGAAGAUAAGUGAGUCCAUCAACUCCAACGGCAUCACUGAGUAUAGAACCACGACCUAAAACUCCUUAAUCGUCGUCUGAAAAGCCUGCAACAUUAACGUUGCAGCCCGAAAACGGGUCAGCACAUGGAAUAUGCUGGCAAGGUAACACAUAGAGAGUAGUGGAAUGAAACAACUAUAUUAUAUGCAUAUUUGGCUGGUGGAAAGCUCUAUGGUUACAGUUUUGCAAAAAGCCAAUUUUUCCCUACUACAAAGGAAUAAAUUUAUUUAACUAUCAUGGUGGUUGUUAAACAUUGAGAAUGGUUGACAGCAUUCUCAAUCCCAAUUAAACAUCAUUAAACAAACCCGUCAAACUUAAUUUUAUAGUAACAUGUUGAGAUUCACAUGAUAAUCCAAGUACUAGAUACUCAAGAUGUCCAUGACUAGGGACACGGCUAACCAUGAUUAGUUUAUACACUCUGCAGAGGUUUGCGCACUUUUCCCCACAAGACUCGAUCUCCUCCGUUGGAUUUCUCGCACUACAGGGUGUUUGAGAAACGGAUGACCGAGACAUAGUCUUUUAGAAGCGCUAGCACCUUACGAUCGGGUAGAUCGUACCACCUACAUCCCCUACAUCUGCUAGUCUACCACUGUAAGAGUUCGCACGACUUAGUCAACUAUGUUAGAGCCCAUAAUAGCUUGUGGCUGCACACGGAAGCUUCUAGCAUGAAUAAUCUCAUGAUCUCUUUGAGCCUGGGUGGCGGUCCAAAAGAAAACAGGCAAUCCUGGAAUACCCAGGUACCUCAAUCCACCCAGAUGUGUAUUUAAGUUUCCACCUUAGAUAAACCAUUGAUUUAAAAGAAAUCUCACAUCUGUCAUGGAUAUCACUCACCCAAUCCACGUCUACUAGCAUAGCAUAGCAAUAGUAAGCAAAUGUAGAAGUAACUCCCAAGGUUUGAUAAUAAACAGGUAAUAGGUACUACCUCAACUACAUCCCAAACCCACAAUUUAAUUAGAUCCUAAUCAUGCAAUGUGUAGAGAUUGAUCUAAUGCAAUAAAACUGGGUAGUAAAAGGUAUGAUCAAAGUGUUACUUGCCUUGCUGAUGAUCCGGGAAACCUAGUGAUUCGAAGUAACAAGCGGCACACUCCGGGUACUCUAUCGCAAACAAACAAGCAUACAAUAAGUACUCAAAUAAUGCACAUGUAAAACUUAAAUAAGAGAUCUAACUAGAAAGUUCAACUUAACAACUCCGGUUGGCAAAAAGAAUCAAAUCAAACGAAGCAAUGAAAGACAAACGGCAAAAGAAAAAGGCUUUGAUUACUAUUCUGGACCUAGGGCAAUUUUUACAGAAACAAAAACUUGUUUAAGUUGGUUUAACGGAAAUAGGGUUUCGAGACGAAACUCCAGGCGCUUGAAUCGCCUGAUUCCGAUAAACGAGUGAAAAGUUAUACUAAAACGAAAGUCGGAUCAGAAAUCGCGAUCAGAAAAAUCGCAAAUUUAAUCCGAGAAAAAGAAAACGACGAACAGUUUAACGAACGAAUGUUCGUUAACUGGAUCUAAACGACGAACACGUUCGUUAAAACGAACGAACGAGCAAACGCUCACUAAAUAGACUAAACCGAAAAUAAAACCGAUCUAAUAAAAAAACAAAAUCUAAAAAGAACCGCGGCUUUUAAAAAAAUCAGGCGGUUUUCUAAAAAAACCCGGCAACGGCGGCUACCUCGGGCGGCGGGGCGGCUCCGGCGAGCGGGCNNNNNNNNNNNNNNNNNNNNNNNNNNNNNNNNNNNNNNNNNNNNNNNNNNNNNNNNNNNNNNNNNNNNNNNNNNNNNNNNNNNNNNNNNNNNNNNNNNNNNNNNNNNNNNNNNNNNNNNNNNNNNNNNNNNNNNNNNNNNNNNNNNNNNNNNNNNNNNNNNNNNNNNNNNNNNNNNNNNNNNNNNNNNNNNNNNNNNNNNNNNNNNNNNNNNNNNNNNNNNNNNNNNNNNNNNNNNNNNNNNNNNNNNNNNNNNNNNNNNNNNNNNNNNNNNNNNNNNNNNNNNNNNNNNNNNNNNNNNNNNNNNNNNNNNNNNNNNNNNNNNNNNNNNNNNNNNNNNNNNNNNNNNNNNNNNNNNNNNNNNNNNNNNNNNNNNNNNNNNNNNNNNNNNNNNNNNNNNNNNNNNNNNNNNNNNNNNNNNNNNNNNNNNNNNNNNNNNNNNNNNNNNNNNNNNNNNNNNNNNNNNNNNNNNNNNNNNNNNNNNNNNNNNNNNNNNNNNGGUUAGGGCGCGGGUGGGCUGGUGGGCUGCGGCGGGGCUCGGGCGGCGCUAUUUAAAGGCUGCCCCGGGCGGAGUCCCGCUCGGGUACGGCCCGGAGUCAGUUCGGACUCUUUUUUUUGAAAUUAAUUCCGCACAGAAAACAAAUAAUAGAAAUACAAAACGGACUCCAAAAAUCCUGAAAUAAAUUUCCCCGGCUUCUAAAAUCAGGCCGCACAGGAUGAACAUUUAUUUGGGGCCUAAAUGCAAUUUUGAAAAACACGUAUUUUUCCUAAAUUCAAAUAAAAUAGCAAAUAAAACCAAAAAAUCUUAUUUGAUUUUUUAUUAAAUCCUCAAUAUUUCCUUAUUUUGGGAAAGUCAUUUUAUUGCCUCUCUCAUAUUUUUGUAAUAGAAAUUAUUGAAGAUAAAAUAAAUAAAAUCAAAUGAUCCUAUUUUCAAAGUUUGAGACAACUCAAAUAUGAAAAUAACGAAAUCCCCAACUCUCUCCGAGGAUCCUUGAGUUGCGAAAAAUUUCUAGGAUCAACCAAAAUGCAAUAAAUAUGAUAUGCAAUGAUGUCUAGUGUAUAACAUUCCAAAUUGAAAAUUUGGGAUGUUACAACCUCGAACUCAUGGUCAUCAAAGUGCAUGUCAGUUGGAGCCAACACCCAUAGUUGACAUGUAUGCAUCAUCGUUGAGACUACAAAAUAUAUAGAACAAUGCGAAUAAGCUAUCUAUAUCAAUGCAUUCAAGAAAUAACAAGAAAAAAAGGUUGGGGAAAUUUUCUACCUUUGGGGCAUAUCCUCGAACACGUUGUGCGCAUCGGCCGCCAGCUCAAUGAGUGAGCUCGUCGGCGCUUCGGUAGCCCCCGUGCCCGUCACAUGCCCUGCAAGUUUCUUCCUCGACGCCUUCGAGGUGUCGGAGCCGUCCGCCGCCUUAUUCUUCUUUGCGGAUGUCUUGCCCUUCUUCGGCUGCGCCGCAUUUGGGAGCUUCGAGGGGGGGGGCACGGGGCGGCGCCGGCGCGACGCGACCCACCAUCGAGGUCAUCCGCGGCGGCAUGAAGGGCCGCGUGUGAGGCCGAUGCUCGGAGGAGCUCCGGCGGAGGCGAGGCCAACGCUCCCCGCGCUAGGGUUUGUGGCGGCGGCGACGAUGGAAGGGUCGCGGAUGUAGGAUGCGGUGAGCGGGGUGCCGGCGCGUGCGCCCAUCGGGUCCAGCUCGCCGGCGCCGGCGCGCGCGUGGCGAAGGUGACGCGGAGGAGAGAGUGCGGUGCGAGCGCUGGUGUGUGCCGCGCGCGGAAGUGGGCGCCCUAAAUACACAACGCGCGUUGACGGUUCGGACAGCGCGCCCGACUCCAUACGCCGCGCGCGCGGUUAUUGCGCCCGCUGGAGCCACUCUAUCAGUUGCGCGCACGUUAAAAUGACCAAAUUUACGGCACGACGUUUGUUUAACACGGUUGUUGAAUAUGCUCUCAGGUAGCUAGGGCCAUAGCACAUGACGCUACGACGUCCAUCCGCAUGCCGCACCCCCAGUUAGCGUGAGUUGUCCCCACAUGUCAAUCAGUCACUGCAUGGUCGAAUGAGGUGUGUUUGGUAGGGCGUAUGAGGGGUGCAUGAGAGCAAAAGUUCCCUUCUCGACCCACUUUUGAGUGUUUGGUAGAGUAUGAAGGGUGCAUGAGUCCACACUAGUUUAGCACAAAUACACUAAAAGCAUGCAUGAGGAGAGCAUGCAUGAGGAGGGAUGUUGAGGUGAGCAUGCAUAAAGAGAGAACAACUAUGCUGAGAUGAGAACGCAACCAAACACACCCUAUUUUUCCGUCUGAGGUGCGGUGCAUAGCUCGCAGCAGAUCGGUACUGCUUUUUCACGGUACUUUCUAUGAGAGGGUACCUUGUGAACGAUUAUUUGUUGUUAGAAAUUCAACACUGAGUGAAGCGGCCAGGAAAGAGAUAACUAGCAUUUAGUGGAUGAAGCGAAGGCUGGUCGUCUUGUACAGUCUGGAGACAAAUCCAGUCUCCGGGGUCCUACUUUGUUCUCCGGAAUCAUUAGCCAUUCGGAGCUACGCGCCAGAGCCAGAGUCACAAUCAAAUCAUCAAUUAGAGGCUCACGUUCCAUCAACAAAACAAUAAAGGAAUACCUAAAACUCAUCUAGAUGAGAUAUAAUUUAAUCUUAUUUAUUUUAAAAAUUAGAACAGAUACAAUCCAUGUCAGCACACACGCAUCUUAAAGCAUCACAUCCAAUGGCUAUAAAAGAUGAAUGAGACCAAAUUAUAUCUCAUCUAGAUGAGUUCUAGCAAAACUGAAACAAUAACCCACUCCUAAGCAUGGCCCGGCAUAGCUUUGUUUGCGAGUGCAUCCAUGCCGCUGCAUGGCAAACUGUCAUGGCUAAUAAACAGUGAUGUCCGGCUACCCAGUGCAAAUCUACAGUAAGGAUCACACUGUCAGCUACUACAUGGACGUAACGUACGUACAGUUCUGCCACAGUUGUGACGGUAACACGUAUCAAACCCGAUCGGGACCCGAGCUGUUUGGGUUUUACGAGUAGUCGUGGACAAUCUCGUCCGACUCCACGCGGCGGCGACGCCGUUGCUGGAUCACAGAGCCAUGCAUCACGUACGCCAGCCAUUCAUGCAGCCGGCCGUGGUCGACGACGCCCCACUCCUCCGUGGCCGGGCAGCUGCCAGGCCAACAGAAAACCCACGGCGCUGCCCGUGUGCGGUGGCCGUGGCACGCGCUGCCUCAUUCCCGCCGCUCCGACAGACAGACCGGCCGCCGUGCCGUAGUCAUCGCCGACUGCGCACGGACGCAUCGCGCGCAAGUAGGAGAGGCAAUGAUAGAUGGGUGCUGUUGCCGGUAUCAGCGUACGCCUGCACGCCGCUAUCUGGUCCAGCAUCUGAAGAAGGCGUCGCAAUUGUUAAUUAGCGCAGCUGUACUGCCGCGCGCAGCCGAUGCCUCUGUCCGUAUCUGCUAAUCCGCCGACGGGACCACGACAAGCAUGGCCAUUUAAGCAAAGCUAUUCGGGGGUGUGCACAACAAAAUUUGGACUUGAGCAAUCGGUUGCGAGACCACGGAGCAAUGCGACGGGACGACGCGCGGCGACGUCUCAAAAGGAUAAGGACGGCCGGCGAGGUCGCACGGUGCUAGGUGUAGCACACAGACACAGGCCGUGCGCAUCAAAGGAGGAAAUGUCAGACGUAAAUAAAUGCCAAACUGAGUGGUGGCUUUUAUUGGUUUUAUUUUGGGCACCCUUGGAGAGAAGUGAUAGCCUGCAUCGAUGGAGAACUGUACAUGGAGUGGCCCUAGCUAUCCUAGUGAGCGAGGGUGCAGGACAUUGGAUUCCUUUCCAGCCCCGGCGCCCAUGAACGCGGAUACGGCUCGUGUUAAGCGGGGGCUACUCUGACACUCACGCUAUCUAGAUCUACACAAGUGAAUGAUCCGAAAAUGCCUUUUGGAGCUCGGCCUACAUGGAGGUCGGUUUUUGAAAAACACAAAAAUCAUAAAAAUUCAUUCAAAAAAAUCUGAAAAAAAUUACAGAUAUACAUGGAGGCAUAACACACAUGUGUGUAAAUUUUUAGGACGAAAUACGUUGAAAUGAAGGCUGUGCAAAAAAGACAAAUCUGAGGCCUUUUAACACAUGUUACUAUUCAUCCUCAAAGUCCAGAAAUUUGUCUUUUUCUAUAGGUCGCGUUUCGAAGUAUUUCAUCUUGAAUUUUUACACACACAUGCAUUUCAUCCGUGUAUAGUUACAUAUUUAUUUUGAGAAUUUUUUGAAGUCAAAAAGUUUGAAUUUUGAAUUUUUCAAAAAUAAAGGGCUUCAUGGAGCUCGGUCACCAAAACUGAAUGAUCCAGCAAUGUUGCCGAAAUUAACGAGUCCCAUGCGUAGCUCUGCGUCGUAGUACUACCACUACCUCUUAGGCUGAGCGGCUGACACGCAUGGCCCCGGUACACACACGAGGUACGUACUAGCAAGAAAACACCAGGGAUCACGGACUAGGCUGGCUAGGCGGUACUGGACGGGGGGCUUAACAACAGGCGGCGCCGUAGUGAUCCCCGUUCCCGAAUCAAUGCGUGGCAGGCAAUAACUAGGUGAUCGUAUGUACACACGCGUCGUGGUACGCCAGUCAGUAGCUGCGGUCACGUACCUCUCGUGUACAUACUCGGGGCAAGUCUGCAUGCAUACUACCACUACCAGGAGGUAUGACUCGUAUGAGUAGCCACGCCCUGCGCCAAAUGGCAAGCAUGCCAUGCCCGGCGCACACGCACACCGUGGUGACCAGUCCUCAGGCCGUCACGCGGCACGGUGGCAGGGCGUCCUCCCCGCCGCGCGGCGCGGCGCCAUCCCCACGCGCGUGGGCGAGUGACCACACAAUCGCGCGCCGGGACAAACCCACGGACACUCCACGUAAAGAUUAGCCAGCCAGCCGCGGGCACCGGGCCAGAGCACGCCCAGACUGCGCUGCGUCCGUCCACGGCCCGCCUCCUCUCCUCCCUCCACGCCUUUCGCGGCGACCGAGACGCCUCAAGGCAAGGCCCCCAUGCCGCCGACGCGACGGGCGGACGGGACGGCACGGAGGCGAGCACGCCGCGCCGCGCCAAGCCCGGCGGGACGCCUCGGAGCGGACAGAAAGAGGACGGGCCGUGCCGCGCAGUGCGUCGUCGACCGGCACAAAAGGCAGCGGAUUUCGGUCGACGGCGACGCGCGGUGUCGCACACGCCUCGCCUUUCUCGAGCCGGAACAGAGCCCGGCCCGGGCGUGCGUGCAGAAUCGGCUGGGAAAGCGCGGCCGCGUAUCAGCCUUUCUCCGUCCUGCUCCAUGGUUUUCCCCGAAUUCCACGGGACAGCAGCCUCGUGCUAAAGCUGCCCCGUCCGACAAACCCCUCUUUUCUCAGCGACCUUGUGUUUACACAAGCCACACCCUUGCACUGUCGCUGCUCGGCCCAGACCAGUCGCAUUACACACGAAAAGAUGUGAAAAUUCGAAUGAAAUGCCAACUUCUAGCAAGAAGUUUACUAGAAAAGCGACUUCACAUUGGGGGCACGGAAAUAUUUUACAUGCAUACUACUCGUACUAGCACCGCCAGAUUAUUGCAUCCAGACGGUGGCGAGGGGAUACGCUAGGAGUUCAUCGCGGCCGAAAAGACAAGCUUUUUGCCACGUUAAGACAAGAGAGUAGAGCGCACACGUAUGCACGCACGUUUUCUUAAUCCGGCAUCAUGAUGCGAGUACCAACUAAUAGUAGUAUUAAAAAUGCUACUAGCAUCUAGGCUAAGAUUUGAUUGAGUACGGCGAUCGCCACUCCGGGGUCCGGACGGCCCGGC